rnacentral:lncRNA from 1 species
CUUGACCUAAUAUCUGUCCUAUGGAAGUGGUCAUAAAUGCUGGCUAUUAUUACCAUUAUUAUUAAGAUGGAAUGAUGAUGACGAUGAUGAUGAUGAUGAUGACGAUGAUGAGAUGACAAUCAUUAUGAUGAAAGAGAAGGACCAAAGGAAAGAAAACAGGAAUGAGAGUGUUCCUAGUAAUGGAAAAGGAGAAUCUCAGCAUUCCACCAAGAAAAUCUCCAAAAAAGGAAAAGCAAAUGAGCAGGGCUGUUUCUGAGGAUAUGAAAUACUUUACAAUUAAAUAAGGAAGAAGAGGAAACAUUCCAGACAGAAGCAAUCUCUUACUGCAAGAGAAUAAGAAGUAAUAAGAAUUUUCAUCAUUUGAAAUGCAGCCAUGUGGCAAUUUUAUCCAUCCAGAACAACUGACAUACAGUAAAUACUUAACAUGUAGCAGAUUCUGCUGUGUUUUUUGAUGUCUUGUUAUAUUAAAUCUCUUCAACCACACUAUGAGGUAGGUGUGUCUUUCCUUCUCAUUCUGUGAAGUAAGGAAAUGGAGUCAUAGAGAAGUUACAUGUGCAGGCCUCAUAGCUAGUACAUGCUGGAAGUGCAUUCCGCCUCUGGGACCUGGAAUCUUUAUUCUUAACCAUUUCAGAACAUGACCUCUGUUCAGUUGGAAUAGAGUAGAGGAAUGAAUUGCAAGAAAGCGCAAACAUACUCUGAG